rnacentral:lncRNA from 1 species
AUGUUUGGCAGCCGCUGCUGGAUCAGGCCCAUGCAACGGCUACCACAGCUUGUCUUCUCCAGCUUAGCUCCAGGUUAUCAGAGUCCAAGAACGCAGCAAAAGUUCUUUGAUCCCGACAAUGGCGCAGCGCGUGUGACGUGCAUCAGCAGCAUGAAGGCAGAGGGACCAGGACAAGUUUCAUCUGGAGAGGGGCUGAGCAUUAGGGUGGUUGUCAUUGGGAAGAUCUACAAUGAGGUAACAGCUGUUUGCAUAAUGGGGACUGGAUGGGCACAAGUCAUGAAAGACAAAGUCAGGCCAAGGGCCCGUAGGAUCCAGGAGGCCUUCGCACCCAUGAAAACACCGCUGCUGAGUCAGGCCCGGGGCUGCUUGCACACCCAAGAAAUACACAUGUGCUGAUAGAAAGCAGAUUUAAAAGGUACCUAAAAUAAUAGUUUGUUAAGACAGUAUUACAGUCAUAUAACUUGUUGGGAAAAGCACACCAUGGCUCAAAAUCUGAAUUAAACAUGUGUCAUUGGGGGUAAGUUUCAUUUAAAAUACCUAUAUCUGCUAAUUCUUUAAUAUGUUAAUGCUAUGCUGCU